rnacentral:misc_RNA from 1 species
AACAUCGCGCACCUGCGGGAACCUGCGGAAGGAUCAUUACAGAGUGUAACCCCCUGUAAAAUGGGGGUACCUCCCGUCCUUUGCAGGCCCUUUAGGGUCUUUUAUACUUUGCUUCGGUGGGGUAACCCACCGGAACACUCUCAAAAAUUCUGAUUUUAAAAUUGUUCAGUCUGAGAAUUUUGAAAAUAAAUAAAAAACUUUUAACAACGGAUCU